rnacentral:rRNA from 1 species
ACGGGAGGCAGCAGUCGGGAAUAUUGCGCAAUGGAGGAAACUCUGACGCAGUGACGCCGCGUGCAGGAAGAAGGUUUUCGGAUUGUAAACUGCUUUAGACAGGGAAGAAACAAGACAGUACCUGUAGAAUAAGCUCCGGCUAACUACGUGCCAGCAGCCGCGGUAAUACGUAGGGAGCGAGCGUUAUCCGGAUUUAUUGGGUGUAAAGGGUGCGUAGACGGGAAAAUAAGUUAGUUGUGAAAUCCCUCGGCUUAACUGAGGAACUGCAACUAAAACUGUUUUUCUUGAGUACUGGAGAGGAAAGUGGAAUUCCUAGUGUAGCGGUGAAAUGCGUAGAUAUUAGGAGGAACACCAGUGGCGAAGGCGACUUUCUGGACAGAAACUGACGUUGAGGCACGAAAGUGUGGGGAGCAAACAGGAUUAGAUACCCUGGUA